rnacentral:rRNA from 1 species
UACGUAGGCAGCAAGCGUUGUUCGGAAUUACUGGGCGUAAAGAGUGUGUAGGCGGUGUUCUAAGUUUGUCGUGAAAUCUCCCGGCUUAACUGGGAGGGUGCGGCGAAAACUGGAAUGCUAGAGGAUGGGAGAGGUAAGCGGAAUUCCUGGUGUAGCGGUGAAAUGCGUAGAUAUCGGGAGGAACACCUGUGGCGAAGGCGGCUUUCUGGUCUGUAACUGACGCUGAGGCGCGAAAGCGUGGGGAGCAAACAGG